CUUAACCGGGCGUUAAGUUGCAGGGUAUAGACCCGAAACCCGGUGAUCUAGCCAUGGGCAGGUUGAAGGUUGGGUAACACUAACUGGAGGACCGAACCGACUAAUGUUGAAAAAUUAGCGGAUGACCUGUGGCUGGGGGUGAAAGGCCAAUCAAACCGGGAGAUAGCUGGUUCUCCCCGAAAGCUAUUUAGGUAGCGCCUCGUGAAUUCAUCUCCGGGGGUAGAGCACUGUUUCGGCUAGGGGGCCAUCCCGGCUUACCAACCCGAUGCAAACUGCGAAUACCGGAGAAUGUUAUCACGGGAGACACACGGCGGGUGCUAACGUCCGUCGUGAAGAGGGAAACAACCCAGACCGCCAGCUAAGGUCCCAAAGUCAUGGUUAAGUGGGAAACGAUGUGGGAAGGCCCAGACAGCCAGGAUGUUGGCUUAGAAGCAGCCAUCAUUUAAAGAAAGCGUAAUAGCUCACUGGUCGAGUCGGCCUGCGCGGAAGAUGUAACGGGGCUAAACCAUG
rnacentral:rRNA from 2 species